rnacentral:misc_RNA from 1 species
UUUCCGUAGGUGAACCUGCGGAAGGAUCAUUAAUAAUAAGUGUGUUAUGGCACUUUUUUAAAUCCAUAUCUACCUUGUGUGCAAUGUUAGGGUUUGUGUCUUUUGACCAGCCCCAAACAUAAACGAUUAUCUCAACUCUUUGUCUGAAAAAUAUUAUGAACAAAACAAUUCAAAAUACAACUUUCAACAACGGAUCUCUUGGCUCUC